rnacentral:lncRNA from 1 species
CACGGAGCGAAGCCCCCACCCCCAGCCUCCAAAAGACCCAGGGAUCCCGGCUGGGGCGGGGGCCGGAGGCGCGCGGUGGGCGCGGCCCCGCCCCCGCUCGCUCGGCUGACUCGCUGCGUGCGCUCCUCUUCCUCCGCAGGGCCUGGCCAUGGCGCCGUUCGGAAGCCUGUUCCCUUAUCCGUACACGUACAUGGCGGCGGCGGCGGCUUCCAGCUCGGUGCACCGCCACCCCUUCCUCAACCUGAACAGCAUGCGCCCGCGGCUGCGCUACAGCCCCUACUCCAUCCCCGUGCCGGUCCCCGACAGCAGCGGCCUGCUCAGCACCGCGCUGCCGUCUAUGGCCGCGGCCGCGGGGCCCCUGGACGCCAAAGCCGCCGCCCUGGCCGCCAGCCCGGCCUCGGGGGCCGUGGAUUCGGGCUCGGAACUGAACAGCCGCUCCUCCACGCUGUCGUCCAGCUCCGUGUCCUUGUCGCCCAAGCUGUGCCCCGACAAGGAGGCGGCCACCAGCGAACUUCAGAGCAUCCAGCGGCUGGUCAGCGGCCUGGAGGCCAAGCCCGACCGGUCCCGCAGCUCGUCCCCCUAGAGCCCCGCGCCCCGGAUUCUGCCCAUUCCAGUCCAGUCCAGUCUGCCGUGCACUUUGUGGGAUGGCCAAGAAGCCAGCGGGCCUGCGGCGGCGCGCGGGGGAGAGGGGAGGGUGUAGCCGUCCCCUUCGGCGGUCAUAGGGGCCAGGGGUGCCGGCCUCCCUGGACAGAACGUUCUAGAGCCAGGCCUUGGCGCCUUGGCUUCUUAGCAAUGCUUCUGUAUCCUGGAUCUAGCCCCAGAGCCGCGGGUGGGUGGGGGUGGGGGAGCUCCGAAGCGCGCCUGUGGUCUCGAGUUGUUGGGGGGUGGGAGUGGAAACAUUUAAGUCCCAGGCAACUUGCAGCCAGGCCCACCGGGAGGGGCAGGAGGUGCGGAGAGCCUCCUGGUCCCUGUGGAUUUAUAUAUAUAUAUAUAUAUAUUUUUUUUCCUUCGCUGUGUCAAGUGGAAACAAAAAGCAAAUUUUUUGUUUUUUGUUUUUUAAAAGAAGGGGACAAAUGCAUACACGAACGCGAUUCUGUGUGUGAAGAUGAGUAA